rnacentral:rRNA from 1 species
AUUGAACGCUGGCGGCAUGCCUAACACAUGCAAGUCGAACGGCAGCACAGCCCGCAAGGGUGGGUGGCGAGUGGCGGACGGGUGAGGAACACAUAGGAAUCUACCCUGUCGUGGGGGAUAACGUAGGGAAACUUACGCUAAUACCGCAUACGACCGAGAGGUGAAAGCGGCGGACCGCAAGGCGUCGCGCGGCUGGAUGAGCCUAUGUCCGAUUAGCUAGUUGGCGGGGUAAGAGCCCACCAAGGCGACGAUCGGUAGCUGGUCUGAGAGGAUGAGCAGCCACACUGGAACUGAGACACGGUCCAGACUCCUACGGGAGGCAGCAGUGGGGAAUAUUGGACAAUGGGCGCAAGCCUGAUCCAGCAAUGCCGCGUGGGUGAAGAAGGCCUUCGGGUUGUAAAGCCCUUUUGUACGGGAAGAAAUCCUGUCGGUUAAUACCCGGCGGGGAUGACGGUACCGUAAGAAUAAGCACCGGCUAACUUCGUGCCAGCCGCCGCGGUAAUAC